CAGUGUGGUAAACUGUUCAUUAGGGUGCUUCAAAGAAGUUUUUUCAACUCUUACCCCCUUAAAUGUUAGUGAUCGACAAAAAAAGAUUCUCCGUCAAGCCAGGCGCUGUAGCUUAACUCUAAGGGGUCGCUUUUUUUAGUUUCCUAUUCAUUUAACAAAGGAAUUUUCGUUUUUUUAUUCAAACUAAAAUUUCACCAAUUAAUUUUCGUUUCUCAUAAAUUUUUCUUUUUUUUAUUAUUAUUUUACAUUGUACCUAGUAUAUAAAAAUAAAAUACUAACAACAAUUCUGGUCUAAAUAAUUAGGAGAGAUACUUAAAAGCUAAAUGUUAAGAAAUACAAUUGCUGCUAUUGUUGCCUUGGUAAGUCGGAAUGCUUCUUGCGUUUCAACCGGAUUUCUCGCCCAGCAGUUUCGAUAAGUCUGUAGGGUUCCUCAUUAACGUGCUGUCUAAGCCUCAGUUCGUCAGACUUUGUUAAUUUCGACAUUUCAUUUACCACUAAAUUCACGCCUAGAUCAAGGAGCAUUAACUAAAGUCCUUAGUACCUUACUUUAAAAGCGCUGAAUGCUGACAAUACAGCCUUGACUUGAGCAACACCAUAGUUGGGCUCCGUAGGCCCAAACUGGCUUUAGGACUUGAUUGUAUAAUAACAGUUGGUUUUGUAUUGAUAGCUUGGAUUUCCUGCCAAGUAGGUGGUAAAGUUUGCCAAAUAUCAUAUCAAGCUCGCUCCUUUUUUUUUGACAUGCUCUUUCUAGCGUAGCUUAGCAUCUAAGGUGAUACCUAGGUACUUAGCAUUGUUAUGGUGUGGUAUAAGAAUGUUAUUUAUAUAAAUUGGACAAUAUGCCGGCUUUUUCAAGGUAAAGUCGACAUGAAUUGAUUUGGUGUCGUUUAAUUUAAUGCGCCACUUAGAUGCCCACUUAGUAAUUGCGUUGACUGCUGUCUGCACUCGUCGACUAGAUACUGAAGUUGACUCUCCAGCUGCUAACAAAGCUGUGUCAUCCGCAAAUGUCGCUGUUAUAUAACUAGAAUCAGAUGGGGUCACUAGUAAAAAGCAAAUAAAGCAUUGGCUCCAACAUGCUUCCCUGGGCAACACCGGCCUCUAUCGGUUCUUCUAUCUUUUAAGUACAAAGCAAUUAUUUCACAAAAUUGUUUGAGUAGCAUGUAUUUCAAUUUGAGCAGUAGACCCGUAUGCCAAACUUUGUGAAAAGCCUGAGACUCGUCCAAAAAGGCCGCCGUACAAACGUAAUUUUCAACGAAAUUAACGAAUCGGUGUAGGUACCUGGUCAAUUGUUAGGUGGUGGUCACGGAAGCCAAAUUGAUGUGUUGGUAUUAGGUUUUUAUGAGCCAUUAUUGGUUUGACUCUAUUUAUAUUUUUUUUGACAUGCUCUUUCUAGCGUAGCUUAGCAUCUAAGGUGAUACCUAGGUACUUAGCAUUGUUGUGGUGUGGUAUAAGAAUGUUAUUUAUAUAAAUUGGACAAUAUGCCGGCUUUUUCAAGGUAAAGUCGACAUGAAUUGAUUUGGUGUCGUUUAAUUUAAUGCGCCACUUAGAUGCCCACUUAGUAAUUGCGUUGACUGCUGUCUGCACUCGUCGACUAGAUACUGAAGUUGACUCUCCAGCUGCUAACAAAGCUGUGUCAUCCGCAAAUGUCGCUGUUAUAUAACUAGAAUCAGAUGGGGUCACUAGUAAAAAGCAAAUAAAGCAUUGGCUCCAACAUGCUUCCCUGGGCAACACCGGCCUCUAUCGGUUCUUCUAUCUUUUAAGUACAAAGCAAUUAUUUCACAAAAUUGUUUGAGUAGCAUGUAUUUCAAUUUGAGCAGUAGACCCGUAUGCCAAACUUUGUGAAAAGCCUGAGACUCGUCCAAAAAGGCCGCCGUACAAACGUAAUUUUCAACGAAAUUAACGAAUCGGUGUACCUGGUCAAUUGUUAGGUGGUGGUCACGGAAGCCAAAUUGAUGUGUUGGUAUUAGGUUUUUAUGAGCCAUUAUUGGUUUGACUCUAUUUAUGAGUACAUUCCCAAAGAUUUUAGAUAAGGCUGGCAGCAGCGAAAUCGGUCUAUAUGAUGUAAAAGUGUGUACUGGCUUACCCGGCUUGGGAAUCAUUAUGACUUCAGAUACUUUCCAAAGCGAUGGGACGUAUCUUAGGCAUAAAGCACUGUUUAUAAUGUUUACAAGUUUUUCUAUACAAUUCUUUGGUAAAUUGCGUAAUAUUUCUCCAGUUAUUAAAUUGUACCCAUGCACAGUGGAUCCGUCAGAGGUCAAAAAUCAAAAAAAUCAACCACACAUGAUUGAAACAAAAUGUAAACCAAUUGUCUCUUAAAUGUCCAAUCUUCUUUAAGCCAUACCGCAUUUUUCUGAAAACCUAACAGGACUUUCUAAAAAUAGCAUUGAAAGCGUGAACACGUGUUCAUUUUCGCAACGCAGCUGCGCGCAGAGUGAUUUUGUCAAAUUAAAAUCGAACUUCAAAGAGAUCAAAUGUUUGCUAGAGUGCUCGGAAAUAGAUUAUUUAAAAUGCAUUUUGAAGUUGAAGGUAUUAACUUUAAAUCGAGAUGUUAAUAAUUAACAUCCUUGUAAAGUAUUUUAUGAAAAACUAAUUUUAUCGAUAGUAUCUAUUUUGUGAACGUCUUUUUUAUGUUUAGUUCAUGUUUUAGUUGUGUUUCAAGAAAAUCCAGAAAUUGGUUUGUAUGUCAUUGUGUUUGUCUUACUUUUAAGGUUUUAAUGUGUUAAACUUAUCUGCAGAAAUGUGCAGAUAUUAGAGAUGAGCGAUAUUGCUAUUUUUAAAUCACUGUGAUUUUAUAUUGCUAUUGCGAUCGCAACUAAGCCGACGUUCAAACGGAGACCUUUUGUUGUUGUUGUUGUAGCGGCAAAUUCUGCCGAUUUGACAAUGUUUGGGCGAAUACAAGUCCGGGUCCCGUCCAGUUACGUACACCCGACUGUGGGAACGACUGAACCUUUUGUCGUUAUUGGCAGCAAAUUCUCUUUUGGUUCCUGUAACUCGAGUCAAGUUUUUACGCCUUUCUUUUCACUACAUUUUCGCAAAUGUUGGAGCGAUUUGGCUACCUGACUUCGGCUUAUUGCAUAGUUCAUUUAUAUGUUGGUAUGAUGGUUUCACACAUUUCUUAGAAGGAAUUACCAUUAGUGUGGUUGAUAAUUUGUUUGUUUAGAAUACCCGCUUUUAAUAUUUUCCAGACCAAAUAAUUAAGGCGAGUUUCCUAACCUUUGGGAAAAUAUUAAAAACCCGUAACUUUUUUAUUCCAUCAUUUUUUCUGAAAUUAAUUAGUUACAAUUCUUGUUUUCAUCACAACAAGCUUUCAAAUUUGGUUUUAACAAUAAGUAAAAUUAAAAAUUUUAUUAAAACAAAUUAAAAUAUUCCAUUUUGAUUAUAUUUCAUCUACCACUUCAAACAUCACACUUCACUUCUUUUCCUUGAUACAUUUCCUGCAGUUUCGAACUGCGAUCGCAAUUCACAGGUUCGAUCGCAAUCGCAGUUCAUAGAAGCGAACUGCUAUUUAUAAAAUGUGAUCGCAGUUGCGAUUUGCGAUUUUUCAAUCACAGUGAAAAAAUCACCGGUAGUGAAAUAUCGCUCAUCACUAGCAGAUGUCUGUAUAAUCGUAAAAAUACUAAGGUCGUUUAAGUUGUCCUUUUGUCUAUUGUGCUGUGUUGGUCUGCCUUCGUCUUUUGUAGCUGUGUUCUUCCCAUAAGUGUGUGUUUACACGCCUGUAUAUUUUUAAUAUAUGGUACACAGAACACGGAACCAAAGCAGAAAAACUGACGAAAUUGAUUUCAGUUGUGCAAGAGAAUAUUCAAAACAACGGCUACAUUACAGAGCUGAGCGAUCUGUCGAAAAAAGUUGAGAACAUCUGUAAAACAAUUUCAACUUUUUGGAAGAAUUAUAAACGGAAAAAAUCUUCAGUUCUUCAAUACCAAUCUGGUUGGCUGAAUAAAGAGCAAUCGAUUUUGUUAAAACGCACGCAGUGUAAAUCGCAGCAGAUGGAGGAAAGUACUCAUCGUGGCCGUCCUCAACUGGAUUUUGCUGACUCUUCAACGAGAACUAAUCGCGUUAGUGUCGAUUGGAGAGCUUUCGGAGGAAGCUGCAGAGUCCAAUAACAAGGAAAUAAAGAAAUGUAGACUUCAGCACAGUCGGAAAGUGUAACGUACUUUAACAAACACAGAUGUCAUUAAUGCACUAUUGUUGCGCUCAGAUCCCUUUAUAACAGGACAGAGACAACUUCCAAAAAAAGACAAGUCAACUUUGUUGACAUCUGUUUAUGAAUUACUAGAUGAUUCUAUAUAAUUUUUGUUUCCUUCAUUUUUCUUUUAUUGUUUUUUUAUAUUGGAUUUUUGAUGAUAUGUAUGUAUAUGUAAAACAACAUUUUUCUAAAAAUAUAACUGCAAUGUAGAUAAAAUAAAAUAAUUUCAAUUUUAUUAAAAAAAAA